rnacentral:antisense_RNA from 1 species
CUUGAUCGAGCCCAGCAGCAGCGGCCGUUCGUCCGACCGUUCCUGCCCGUAUGUCGCCAGCAGCGCCUGCGCCUC